rnacentral:misc_RNA from 1 species
AGCAGCCGCGGUAAUUCCAGCUCCAAUAGCGUAUAUUAAAGUUGUUGCAGUUAAAAGCUCGUAGUUGAAUUUCGGGACCAAUUUGUUGGUCGUGCCUCGGUACGUACUGGUAUUAUUGGUUUCUCCCUUCUGAAGAACCUCGAUGCCAUUAAUUUGGCGUCGUGGGGAAUCAGGACUGUUACUUUGAAAAAAUUAGAGUGUUUAAAGCAAGCAUACGCUUGAAUACAUUAGCAUGGAAUAAUGAAAUAGGACGUUUGAUUCUAUUUUGUUGGUUUCUAGGAUCGACGUAAUGAUUAAUAGGGAUAGUUGGGGGCAUUAGUAUUCAAUUGUCAGAGGUGAAAUUCUUGGAUUUAUUGAAGACUAACUACUGCGAAAGCAUUUGCCAAGGAUGUUUUCAUUAAUCAAGAACGAAAGUUAGGGGAUCGAAGACGAUCAGAUACCGUCGUAGUCUUAACCAUAAACUAUGCCGACUAGGGAUCGGAUGAUGUUAAUUUUUUAAUGACUCAUUCGGCGCCUUACG